AUUACUGCUGCACGUUUGCUAUUCCCAGUGGGAACAACGCCCGUAUUGAUUUUGUUGGCUCCGACUGCUAUAUUUGUCUUGGAGAAAAGGUGUACGCAUACAGAAAAGGUGUUAUUUUAUCGAAAUCUAGUAUGCAGCCGUCCGCGAAACGCGCACAAACACUCUGAAAUAGCGCGGGGAAAGGACCGACGCGCAACAAACGGCGCUGCUCCGGCGCCGCAGCGGGGCAGGUCUCGUUGCACGCCGGCCCUACCCAGGGCUCUCUAUCCCGUUUCCUCCACGGCAUAUUUCUUUGGAGGCCUCCAGACCAGACGCUCGUUUUCUGUCGCGCCGUCUAGAACUGACGAUAGCUGUAAUGCCGUACCUCUGACGGUCACGGACGGAGAGAGCCGCGGAGAGCGGGUGCCGGCGGGCUCCGUCCUGACUGCGGCUGCGGGCCAAGCCCGACGCGGGACGCGGGCGAGCGCUUCUCCCGGCCGGAGCCCGCGGGGCGCUCGCCUCCCCAGCACUCGGCCAGCGGCAGCCCAGGUCGUCCCGCCGCGGACGGGGGCAGAGGGGGCCUUGCGGGAGUCCCGAGGGGAAACCACCGUGCUUGGCUCCCGGGCUGGGACCGGACGGUCCCGCUGCGCGCCCCGAUUCCGAUUCGCAGCGGCGAUUCCCGGGGAAGAGGAGAAGCUUCCGGCAGCCGGGGUCCCCGGACAUCGCCCUGCAGGGCUCUGUCGGCCACAUCGCGGCGGCGCGGGCCCUCGAGAUCCCCCCGCCCCACACCCCGCCAUCCGGUCGACGCGACGGGCGCACGGCGGCCCGGGCCGGGGGACGGCAUGGGCAGCAGCCCGAGCCCCACGGGGAGAUGCCCGUAAGCCGUUUCCAGACGAGCGAGGAGGGCCGGGCCGGGGCGUCCCGGGACUGACAGGGUCCCGCGUCCGCCAGCGAGGACACUCGGGGACCCGACGGGCGCGUCGGACCCUCCCGCUCGGCGUGCCCGGGGCGGGGAGCGAGAACGGAGCGGGAACGGAGCGGGAACGGAGCGCGCCUACGGCCGGCCCGCGGCGCCCCGUUCCCGGCGUAGCGGAGGCUGCGCGCCCGCGCCCAGCCCCGGCCGGGACAACCGGCUCCGCCGCCCCUGCGGCUGGGCUGGCUUCCGUCGCGCCGUUCUAA
rnacentral:lncRNA from 1 species